CUGGCCUGCAGCAUAGCUGCUGAACUUUUAUUUCAGUGAACUGGCUUGUUGUCAGGAUAAAAUUAACUGUGGACCAGCUGCUUAAUGUUCCUGAAAGAUUUGACACCCCGAAAACGACAAGUGAUUCUGAUUAUUGUACGAAAACCCAGCGCAGAUCAUGAUAUCUUCCAGUAAACAGGACAUCUCCCAUUGAUUUCUACAUGACCGUGGCAGGUUUGUGAUUGUGUACUUUUUUCUUCUGACUUUUAGUAGCGUCAGGAUUUAAUAAACCACAAAAAGUUUUUUUCCAUCAGAAAAAAUUGUGUUUUCCCCUUUGAAACU